rnacentral:rRNA from 1 species
GAGUUUGAUCCUGGCUCAGGAUGAACGCUGGCGGCGUGCUUAACGCAUGCAAGUCGAGCGAAGCACUUUGCUUAGAUUCUUCGGAUGAAGAGGAUUGUGACUGAGCGGCGGACGGGUGAGUAACGCGUGGGUAACCUGCCUCAUACAGGGGGAUAACAGUUAGAAAUGACUGCUAAUACCGCAUAAGACCACAGCACCGCAUGGUGCGGGGGUAAAAACUCCGGUGGUAUGAGAUGGACCCGCGUCUGAUUAGCUAGUUGGUAAGGUAACGGCUUACCAAGGCGACGAUCAGUAGCCGACCUGAGAGGGUGACCGGCCACACUGGGACUGAGACACGGCCCAGACUCCUACGGGAGGCAGCAGUAGGGAAUUUUCGGCAAUGGGGGGAACCCUGACCGAGCAACGCCGCGUGAAGGAAGAAGGAAUUCGUUCUGUAAACUUCUGUUAUAAAGGAAGAACGGCGGAUAUAGGGAAUGAUAUCCGAGUGACGGUACUUUAUGAGAAAGCCACGGCUAACUACGUGCCAGCCGCCGCGGUAAUUC